rnacentral:misc_RNA from 1 species
GAUCUUGUUGUUCCAGAAGCAAAAACCAUACCCAUCAUAGGUAGAGCCUAUAAGCUUUUCGAACACACUAUAGUCAGUGUUGAUUCUAUUAAACAUCGUUGACCAAGAAAUUGCCUUAACCUUUUAGGGAUCCUAGUUUUCUACAUGUAAUUAGCUGAAGAUAAACUAUUAGGAAGCGUAAAUUACACCAUUAGUCAUGGUACUUUGCACUAUUUGAUAAUGAAACUCCAUUUUGUAUUGAUUUGUUAACAAAACUUUCUGAUUAGUUGCAAUGGAACCAUCCUCACCCAAAUCCAGUCAGGUAGGCACCAAAAAUCUCACAACCACCAACACAAACAUGUAUAGCUUUAAGCAAGUUCUAUGACAAACAAUGUUUUGCACAAUGAAAUCAUGCCAUGCUAAGGAAAACUGCCAAGGCCCUAGUGACAACAUCCAAAUAAUAUUCUUCUACAAGUCACAUGAAGAUUAUAUUUGAAGCUGGUGCUUUUGAAGUGAUGAAAUGACAAGUAAGAAUAGAUGUGCUCUAGAAUUUACUAAAAAUUAAUUGGCUGCAAAAGAAUUGAAACUUUAGC